GAAGUUAUGAGAAGGCCAUGUUAAAAUAAUGUGUUUUCAGCAUUUUUUUAAAGUGCUCCACUGUAUUAGCCUGGCGAAUUCCUACUGGCAGGCUAUUCCAGAUUUUAGGUGCAUAACAGCAGAAGGCCGCCUCACCACUUCUUUUAAGUUUUGCUCUUGGAAUUCUAAGGAGACACUCAUUUGAGGAUCUGAGGUUACGAUUUGGAAUAUAAGGUGUCAGACAUUCCGAUAUAUAAGAUGGGGUGAGAUUAUUUAAGGCUUUAUAAACCAUAAGCAGAAUUUUAAAGUCAAUUCUGAAUGACACAGGUAACCAGUGUAGUGACAUCAAAACUGGAGAAAUGUGCUCGGAUUUUCUUUUCCUAGUUAGGAUUCUAGCAGCUGCAUUCUGCACUAGUUGCAAACGAUUUAUGUCUUUUUUGGGUAGUCCUGAGAGGAGUGCGCUACAG